GUUCGUGCUGAUGGAGUGAUUACCCUCCCAGAGCCUCCUGCCACCGCAGAUUGUCAGGGGGAGGAUGAUGAAGACACAGUGUCUGUAACCACUGCUGUGGGGGCUGAUGGGCCUUCAGAGCUCCCUGUGAAGGAUCUGUACAGGGUUCACCUGCAAAGACACAUACCCAGAUGUGACCUCCAAAUGGACCAUAUCAGACUGAAAAUG